UGGGGAAUAUUGGACAAUGGGCGAAAGCCUGAUCCAGCCAUGCCGCGUGGAUGAUGACGGCCCUAGGGUUGUAAAGUCCUUUCGACGGGGAAGAUAAUGACGGUACCCGUAGAAGAAGCCCCGGCUAACUUCGUGCCAGCAGCCGCGGUAAUACGAAGGGGGCUAGCGUUGCUCGGAAUCACUGGGCGUAAAGCGCACGUAGGCGGCUUUCUAAGUCAGGGGUGAAAUCCUGGAGCUCAACUCCAGAACUGCCUUUGAUACUGGAGAGCUUGAGUUCGGGAGAGGUGAGUGGAACUGCGAGUGUAGAGGUGAAAUUCGUAGAUAUUCGCAAGAACACCAGUGGCGAAGGCGGCUCACUGGCCCGAUACUGACGCUGAGGUGCGAAAGCGUGGGGAGCAAACAGGAUUAGAAACCCGUGUAG
rnacentral:rRNA from 1 species